GGGAAAAGAAAAGCAAUAUGAUGUUGUCUGUGAAUCCACUGAUAUUCUUUGAUUAAUUUCAUGAAUCCCAACAGGUUCUGAUCGU